rnacentral:rRNA from 1 species
UGAGGAAUAUUGGUCAAUGGACGGAAGUCUGAACCAGCCAUGCCGCGUGCAGGAAGACGGCUCUAUGAGUUGUAAACUGCUUUUGUACAAGGGUAAACCUGAAUACGUGUAUUCAGCUGAAAGUACUGUACGAAUAAGGAUCGGCUAACUCCGUGCCAGCAGCCGCGGUAAUACGGAGGAUCCAAGCGUUAUCCGGAUUUAUUGGGUUUAAAGGGUGCGUAGGCGGAUUGAUAAGUUAGAGGUGAAAUGUCCGAGCUUAACUCGGGAACUGCCUCUAAUACUGUUGAUCUAGAGAGUAGAUGCGGUAGGCGGAAUGUAUGGUGUAGCGGUGAAAUGCUUAGAGAUCAUACAGAACACCGAUUGCGAAGGCAGCUUACCAAUCUAUAUCUGACGUUGAGGCACGAAAGCGUGGGGAGCAAACAGG